rnacentral:piRNA from 1 species
UCCAACCUCUGUUGUCUCUAAGGUGCUGU